UACGUAGGGUGCAAGCGUUAAUCGGAAUUACUGGGCGUAAAGCGUGCGCAGGCGGCUUUGCAAGACAGAUGUGAAAUCCCCGGGCUUAACCUGGGAACUGCGUCUGAUACUGGGAGGCUUGAGUAUGGGAGAGGGAUGUAGAAUUCCAGGUGUAGCGGUGAAAUGCGUAGAUAUCUGGAGGAAUACCGGUGGCGAAGGCGGCAUCCUGGACCAUUACUGACGCUGAGGCGCGAAAGCUAGGGGAGCAAACGGG
rnacentral:rRNA from 1 species